rnacentral:lncRNA from 1 species
GCCAGUAUGAUCAUAAUCUGCAGUGGGAACUAAAUUGGAAAAUCACAUCCAAUUAGCGCCUGACUGUAGAACAAGUGGAGCCCUGAUGUUCUCUAAGGAAUCAAUUAAUGCAAUUCCAAAUUAAACCAAAAAAAAUCCAUUAGCGAACCCUUGGUCAUAUUUAAUGCAAUAAUCAAGGCACUCUGGAUUUCUACAAGGCUUUGAUAAUGUCACUGCACCCCAGGGUCACUGCGCAUGGUCACCAUGAUACACCACAUCACUGCCCUGUUUCACAGUUAAGCACUGUGUAGAACGAGGACUGACUGGUGUGUGUACCUGGUGAAUCAAUCGGCCCCAAGUGACCUUUGCUGUAGCAGAGCGGCUUAGCAUUCAUCAACAGUGAUGGCCUUCAAAAGGUCAUAUUCCAUCAAGAUAUAUUUCACUGUCCACAGAACAACAGAGAAGGAAUUUGACACAGGCAUAAAUGAAAAUAACCGCCAGCAGAAUAGCAGAGCAGCAGUCCCUCUGGCCUAGCGCAGAGGCAGCCAUUACUAGACUAGGCCUACAGAUCAAGAAAAACAAAUGAAACAAGAGCUGCACCAUAUUCAGAACAAAUGAACAUACCCUCUCCCUCCAGCAAAAAAAAAAAAAGACAGCAAGAGGUCUCUAUUAUCUCUCUGUUGCAACAGAUUCCAUUGCUUUCUAUGCGGCGAACAAACACACACACAGUUGCCAUUGUCUGCCAUGACAGGAGAAGAGAGCGAUCACCUCUGCCAGACAGCUGAUAAACAUCUGCAAACAAAGACACUAAGAGGAGUCAUGUUCCAGACACUCAAACAAACAUGCGGGGCGCAGAGCCCAAUGGAAGGUGUUAACAAACAUUACAGGCAUGCUUGGCUCCACCUGAUAGCCAUGGCUGGUGUACUGAGGCCUAACAGACUACCUCGCGUCGUUUCUCUUCCCUCUUCUCUCUUCCCAAAAGAAGAUGAUCUAUCACUUUCCUUCAUUCUUUCUUUCUUUUCUUCCUUCCUCCCACCCUUUCUCCUCUCUCCAUCCUUCCCCUCUCUAUCAUGCCACACAAGCAUCUCUCUCCUCACACUCCUCCUCUUGUCUACAUCUUCUCCCUUCUUCCCUCAGUGUCAUCUCGGGUCACGCAAGCCAAACCAAAAAGCAUCCCCCCCCUCCCUUCACCGAGCGUGUCGAGUGGCGGUGCGGAGACGGGUGCCAGCUUGGAGACACCUACCCUCUGG